GUCUCAUUAUCUUGACUUUGAAAUCAGUUUUCAGUUUUCUUAUCUUCUGUUCGUCAUGUUCCUGUAUUUUAUUUCCCUAUCAAAUCAACUCUGAUUUAUCUCAAAUUUUGUGUGCUAGACGCUCUGUGUGUCUAGUACACCUCUGUAAAUUUUCGUGUUUUUCUGAACAAUCUAGGUUAGGUUUUACUUUUAUUUUUCGACUGUUGUUCAAUAGG
rnacentral:lncRNA from 1 species